GUCGAAUCGUUCAUUAGCUGUGAGUUCGCUUAGGGACCGAGAAGCCACAUUAAUCUGGCUUCAUUAUAAUGGUUAACCGCAGAAUACCCUGCCAUUUCAAGACUACCCAGUUGUAAGGGCCGAAGUGCUUUGAUGGGCCUUGCGAACAAGAGUUCCAAGUUUCAAAAAGUCAGUUGAAUCACACUUGAUGGGUUGCCAUUGGUCAGGAAAGAGUCUGGGAGAGAAAAUGUCUUCAAGGUCAGAAAAAAGUCAAGAAUUAGUCUGGGUCGACAAGAUACAAGAUCAGGGGUUUCAUUAAGGGCCAGGCAUCAAGCAAAUUGACUGGUUGUGACGAUGGCUUUGCCCACCUGAUUUGAC